rnacentral:rRNA from 1 species
UACGGAGGGGGCUAGCGUUGUUCGGAAUUACUGGGCGUAAAGCGCACGUAGGCGGCUUUACAAGUUAGAGGUGAAAGCCCGGAGCUCAACUCCGGAAUUGCCUUUAAGACUGCAUCGCUCGAAUCAUGGAGAGGUGAGUGGAAUUCCGAGUGUAGAGGUGAAAUUCGUAGAUAUUCGGAAGAACACCAGUGGCGAAGGCGACUCACUGGACAUGUAUUGACGCUGAGGUGCGAAAGCGUGGGGAGCAAACAGG